GACAAUGGAAUUUGUCCACUCAAUUGGUUCUGCGACAAGUCUAAAUGAGUGAGUUGCAAGAGGUUCCCCAAUGAUAUUGGAAUUUGUCCACUCAAUUGGUUCUGCCACAAGUUUAAAUCAGUGAGUUGCAAGAGGUUCCCCAAUGAUCUUGGAAUUUGUCCACUCAAUUGGUUCUGCCACAAGUCUAAAUCAGUGAGUUGCAAGAGGUUGCCCAAUGAUCUUGGAAUUUGUCCACUCAAUUGGUUCUGCCACAAGCCUAAAUUAGUGAGUUGCAAGAGGUUCCCCAAUGAUCUUGGAAUUUUUUCACUCAAUUGGUUCUGCCACAAGCCUAAAUGAGUGACUUGCAAGAGGUUCCCCAAUGAUCUUGGAAUUUUUCCACUCAAUUGGUUCUGCCACAAACCUAAAUCAGUGAGUUGCAAGAGAUUCCCCAAUGAUCUUGGAAUAUUUCCACUCAAUUGGUUCUGCCACAAGCCUAAAUGAGUGAGUUGCAAGAGGUUCCCCAAUGAUCUGCCACAAGCCUAAAUGAGUGAGUUGCAAGAGUUUCCCCAAUGAUCUUGGAAUUUGUCCACUCAAUUGGUUCUCACACAAGUCUAAAUAAGUGAGUUGCAAGAGGUUCUCCAAUGAUCUUGGAAUUUGUCCACUCAAUAGGUUCUGUGACAAGUCUAAAUAAGCGAGUUGCAAGAGGUUCCCCAGUGAUCUUGGACCCGGUCCUGAUAAGUUGGAAUGGGAGAGAUCUAAAACCUUCAAGGACACAAGAUUCCCCAUCCAGUCAGGCAAUCCUCCAAAAAAAUUUGCGCCUCCAAGAAUCAACUACUCCAAAGAUGAUAAAUUUGUGAAUGAGACAGACAAUCCUUGAAAGAAGGAAUUUCCUGAGAGAUCUAAGUACUUUAAGGCCUGUAGAUUAUCAACUGAAUCAAUGAAUUCUGUAGAGAAGGACACGAACGACAGAUCCAAAUGUUCAAGAUUGCUGCUCCGAUUGAACUUCAAAGGAUCAAGAUUGAGGUUUUGGUUGCCUCCCAAGUUGAGGAGAUUGAGGUUUGGCAAAUCAAAAAUGUUUUUUGGGAAUUUUCCUUGCAAAUCACAAAAAGCAAGACUGAGAGACCUUAGAGAAGAGGAUAGAUUCAUGAAGACAUGAGCAUUAACAGAAGACAUGUCCAUUCCAUCCAAAAACAGAUGUCUGACCUCGGUUAGGUUGUGAACAAGUCCCUCCAGAGCAUGUUUGUCAAUUGUUUGUGCAUCACCCCAACAGGAGAGAUCAAGUGAAACCAAUUUUGACAGGUGGGAGACUUGGGAUGGGACUUCUCCUGCAAACCCUGUAUUGGAAAGGUUGAGGUAGAAUAGGCUUGUAAACCGACCUAAGUCGGAUGGAAUUUUGGAAAGAUUAAAAUCAUUGAAGGCAAGGUUGAGUUUUUGAAGGUGAGGAAGAAGGAAGAGAGUGGUAUUGGAAGGGAAGUUGCCAGAUAGCCAACUGCAGCUCAAGUCAAGGGCAAUAACAUGAGCAUUUAGGUGGUCACAAGUGACCCCAUCCCAUGAGCAGCAAUCUGUACCCUCCUUCCAUGAAUUUGUCUUGGGAUAAGAUUUAGGGCCGCAAGACGAAUAAGCAGCCUCUGUUAUGGAAAAAGAGUUCUUGAACUGGAUUAGUAAAGAGCAGGAGUGAGAUCCUGAAGAAGAAAAAGAAGCAUAAAGAUGGGGAAAGAAGAGGAAUAGGCAGAGAAAGAGACAGGGGGGCAUGUUAUGUUUGUAGAGGAAGAUGAAGGAUAGGAAUGGUAUUUAUAGGCAACAAAUAAUACAACAACAUUGGUGUUACAGUCUUUUUUAUUUUCUCGAGUUCUAUGAGUUUGUUUAAAUUCGCCGUGAAUACUCGAUUUUUUUUUACGUUUUUGAUUCAAAUACCGCUAAAAACAUUAAUCGGUUGCCAUUAAAUAUGUCAUUUUCUAUUAGCUGCAAGAAAACUAUCCGAUAAACUGCAUCUUCUUCUUUAGAUGAAAUUUUGUAAAAAAAAUUUGACAUUAUCUCUUAUAUGGUCCUUCAAUUUUAUUUAAAAAAUGAUUUUAACUCUCCAUUUAAUUUUUCAAACAAAUUAACGCAACAUUUUAGUUAUUGUCUACUGUCCAAUAAUGCCAUGUGUAUCAGUACAAACAUUCCCAUUUCUUUUUUUUUUUUUUCAUUUUCCCAAAAACUCAUUUCACUCUUAGCUUUAUAAAGAAAAAAAAAGUUAUUUUAGCCCUUAAUUUAAUUUUUCAUCUUCUUUAACCCUUAAACUUAUAUUGUUUAUCAAAUAACCCUUAAACUUGCAUUGUUUAUCAGAUGAAAAAAUUAAUAUCUAUUAACUUUGCUAACGUGCAUACAUAUGCAACCUCAUUUAAAUCUAAAAAAUAUAAAAAUAAUUAAAUAUGUAUAAAUCUAAAAAUAUCUUAAAAUUAAAACUAAAAUUUUUUAAACUAAUACAAAUUUUUAUUAUUUAAAAAAUCUUAAAAUUUUCAAAUUAAAUUCCAUUUGUUUUCCACCAUUGAAGAACACCUUCAAUCACAUCAACAACUUCAUACUAUUUUGCCUAGAAAUUGUUUUGCAAAUUUAUUUUGUUUAUUUAUUUCUAAACCCAUAUUUCUUUUCUAUAACCCCAAUGGUAGCAAAGGAAAUGUAAAAAAAAAAAAACUUAAAAAUCAAAUUUUUAAUGAUGAAGGGAAUUGAUUUAUAUUAAAACCAAGGAUUACACUGAAAAUACAAAGAGUUGAAGGUACUAAACAAGCAAAUAAACCCUAGCUACAGUGAUAAUUAACUUAACUAUCUACUAUUGGAACCAAGAAAAACUAAAAGAAAACAUGAAUUAAACCCUAGAGUUAUGAAGAAGAAAACAAAAACUCUAAAAAUAAAGAGAAAAAUUGAAAACCGUGAAAUGUUAAGUGUGCCCUUUGUUCAGCCAAUUUUUUGCCCUUUCUAGCAAAUUACAGAUCCAAAAAUAGUGACCAAAUUGUCUUUGAUGGUCUAAUUUUGGUUAGGGGGAAAAGGAUUACCCCUACGGUUAUUUUUUUGUCUCCUCCCAUCAAUGAUAUUGCGAUACCCAAAGUUUGGUAUCGCGAUAUCCACGACAGUCUUGAGGAUCCUUGGGAGUUUUGGGUAUCGCGAUACCUUAUGACCGUUAUCACGAUAACACUGUUGAUAUGCGGUACCCUCUUUCUAGGUGACAUUUUCGAUCCUUCUGAGCCACCAUGGGAUCUCUGCAUCACUCAUCAACCUCAUCAGAUUCCUCGGAUGCCAUUUGGCCAUCUCAGAUCUCAAAAUAGUAUCAAAAUGGACACUAAUCAUUUAUUAGUAUAAAGAACUAAAACUAAAUAAAAAAACGACAAAGAUAUCUAAAUUGCUUGAAAAUAAGUUUUUAAGUGUGAUGGAGAGCCUAAUUUGACAUAUCAAUUUACAACAGAUUAUAAACAUAAUUUGCGGAACCUUGUUAAAAUUUUGAUUUUCUUUAUUAGUUUCUUUCAAUAUUCUGUACGGUACAUUUGUAGUAAUAUAUUGUGCAGAUCAUAGACUACAUUGCUUUAUUAGUGUUCUAUUGUUAAUCUAUUAUUAUUAUUAUUAUUAUUAUUAUUAGCACCACUUCCUUUUUACCAUAUAAUUUUUAUUCAUAAAAAUGAAGAGUUGAUUUACUAAAGAAAGAAGAAGAAUUGAUGAGAUUAUAAAGUAUAUUGACUUGGUCUUGCUUCCUUUAUAUGUAUGAAUGUGGAAAUCGGCAUAAUGCCAACUUAUUUUCCACGCAGAGGAAGAAAAUGGUGCUCUCUUGUCACUCCCUUUAACUUGACAAAAUACAAGACAUGUGAUCCACCAAUGAAUGUUUGACUAUCUCCAUCUCACUUUUUAUUAAUCAAGGAAUAUAAACUUACUAUUUCAACAUUUCAUAAGCAAAAGCUAAAAUAAUAUUGGUCACAUCCCAUAUCUUCAUAAGACAAAAGUUAAAACAGCCUUCAGUUCAUCUACAUUCUACAUUCAUAUCAAUUGCACACAAAGUCAUAUCUGCAAGCAUCAAAUAUUAACCUUUCAACUCCAUAAUAACAACACCAAUUUCUAACAAUUGCAGAAGAAUGUCCAAUCAUUCCACACAAAUUAACAACAAUUUGUAGCAUCCACUACAUUCAUAUCAAUUCCACACAAAUUAAGACUGCAAUUUCUAACUUGUUUAUACCCUCAAUGAAGCUACCUAAAAGAUAUGAAUUUUUUAAUAUUAUAAAGUUAAGUGACCAAAACAUAAAUUUUCUACUAGAUUAGUACUUGAGGUGUAGUUUACCUUAUAAUAAAUAACUAUAAUAAAUUUGUGAAUCAAUUGCAUAAUUAAAUUAAGAUUUUCAAGCCUUUUACCAAACCAAACUUGAAAGGAGAAAAAGAAUCAUGAAAGAAUCCAGUUUUAAAAGCCUUUCACUUUUCCCAAGUCCAAUACACAAAUUCACAAGAUCCCACACUCUCAUUUAUCCUCUUCAAAAAGCAAGGUCCACAACAAAAGAUUAAUUUAGAUAUUAAUUAUUUUAUUUUAAUGGGAUAUAAUUUGAUAUUUUGUUUUUAUUUUAAUUAAGUGUGUUUAAAUUAGUGAUAUUUGUUAUAAUAAUUAAGUUAUACAUUCGGGAAGGUUGAUAAUAAUGUUCACACCAUAGAUGUUGUGAAGAGCCACUAAAAGUGACAAUUUAUCUAUGCUAAAAAGGUGUUUGAAUAGAGUAAUAUUGGACAAUGUCCUACCUCAAGACCCAAAAGGGAUGCCAAUUUAAGACCCAAGGAAGCCUUCGACUUAUCUCACUUGUGUAAGGAGCUAGAGUUAUCUCUUUACUAUUAACAACAUAAUUAAUCAUAUUCUAUAAUUCACCUUUAAGGUGUCUUAUUCACUUGUUUAGGUCAACUAUACCAAAUUCAGCAUUUUAUUUCGCCAAACCAAAAUUGUCAUUUGCCAUAUAGGGAUCGCCAAGCCUAUAAAAGCCAAAAUCUUUUCAAAGAUUUGCCUCGUUUAGCUCGAUUCUUCAAUUUAUCUUCUCAAUCUCAAUUAUUAACGUUUGUCUCUCUAACUUGCCUCCUCAAAUUUAAUCAUUAAAACUAAAUGCAUUACGUGCUCACCAUACUACAAGAACAUAAACUUAUUUAUUUCAAGAGGAUCACUUUAUAAAUUUCCAUCAAUUAGGGAAAAAUUAUUAUACCUCUAUAAGUAUAUUUUAAAAUAUGGCGAUAUUUCAAGAUAGCACCUAUCACAUUUCAAUAAAACUCAUUAUAUAUCUACCACCAUCAUAAUUAAGUAAUAGAGCAUCAUUCUAUAUGGACACACAUCAAGCUCAUUUCCUUUUAUGUUAAUUAUUCACGUAAUUCUAAUUUUCAAUUAUUUCCUUAAAUAUUAAAAAUAACUACUCUGUUAAUGCCAUGUAGCUAUUUUGAUUAAUGAUUUCCAUUUAAUUUGUUUUCCUCCUGACUUGGAAAUGUGGACUUGACAACAAAAUGAAAUUUGAGCAUGACACCUUAAUUUUGUGGUUGGUUUGACGAAUACUGAAGGUUGGUCAUCUUGAAACAUAUAUAAAAUUAAAUGAUUGAAUUAUUGAAAUUAUUAAAUAAAAUAAUUAUGAAAUUAGAAUUUAAGGUUAGAGGUUAUUUUUAGAAUUUUAAAUUUUCUUUUACUGCUAACUUGUAAAAAAAUUAUGAAAAUACAACAGAGAUCAUUGACACAUUUUGUUCUCCUUUCUCCUUUACUGAGCAGUAGCAAAGAUUAUCGAGACUAAAUUGAAAGUCAUGAAAGAAGACAUAAACAACACCACCAUACAAAAUGUUACAUUCAAACAAACCAUUACAGAUAGCACGAAAUGCAAUGAAAGGCAGAGGAAUUGGUACGAUAAUAAAGACAGACACGUACCAAUGCAACCCUUCACCAUAGGCAAAACGGUCUACAGAACAAUAAAUUAUGAAAAUACAACACUAAUUCUUCAACAUCAUUUGCUGUAAUUAGAUCCUUCUUCGUCUAUUGCUCCGAUUGCCUUUCUUUGACUUUCUUCUUCGCCUCUUCUCUUGUUGGUUUUCAACCAAAUUCACCAACCAUUUCGGCUUACCAGUUUGGAAAACAACAUAUCCCACCGACAUUCCGAACACCACUCCGCAUCCAUAACCUAUCAACACCACUUUCUAACCAAAAUCAAUGUUUGAUUUUGAGCCAUCUGUUUCAAGCACAUUUGGAGGUGCUGGCUCAAUGAUGUUGCAACCUUUCGAGACCGGAAACCCACAUAGUCCCUUAUUCACUUCAUAUGAAUCAUUUCCAAAUGUGUUGAAUUGUUUUCCUUGAGGAAUCUGACCAUGGAGUUGAUUUUCAGAAACAUUGAAGGACGAAAGAUACUGCAGAUCUGCCAAUCCAUUUGGAAUCGUCCCAGACAACCUGUUUGAAGAUAGGUCCAACCAUUCACAACUGGAUUAGUGAAGAGCAGGAGUACUGAGAUCCUGAAGAAGCAUAAAGAUGGGGAAAGAAGAGGAAUAGGCAGAGGAAGAGAUAGGGGGCCAUGUUAUGUUUGUGGAGGAAGAUGAAGGAUAGGAAUGGUAUUUAUAGGCAACAAAUAAUACCACAGUGUUACAGUCUUUUUUUCUUUUACGUUGAGAAGCUAUAGACAUUAGAUUUUCAAAAUUUUUGUAUUUUUCACAAUCAUCAACAACGACUUAGUCUUCUUUUUACCAUAUAUUUUUCAUUCUUAAAAUUGGAUAUUAGAUUUUCAAAAUAUUUGUAUUUUUCACAAUCAUCAGCAAAAUCUUGUAUUUCGUUUGAACUGUCUAAACAACUAAAAAAAUUAAGAUUGAUGAGAGUACAAAGUAGAUUGACUUAGUCUUUUUUCUCAUAACCCUUAAAGAAUGUGUGUAUCUAUUCACUUGCAGGUCAACCAAAGCUAAUUAAUGUGGAAAUUCUUUUUCACAACAAAAUUGUACUCUAUUCACUACGUUUGAGGAAGAAGACUGUUGGAAAUUUAAUCCACCGAUUCCAUAAAAACGUGUAUACUUAUAUAUAUAUAUAUAUAUAUGUAUAACCUCAUAUAAAAUCUGAUAAAUUUAUUUGGGAAUAGUUAUUUUUCAUUCGUUAAUUAUUUCUCUUUUAAUCAAGUAAAAAAAUUAAAACUAAAAAGACAUUAUGAUUUAUUUGGCAUUUUUUAACUUCACAAAUAAAACGUCAUUUUAACUUUCUAUUCUUUUUUUUAUCUCUUUUAGCCUUGAAACUUAUAUGGUUCGUUAAAUCACUCAUUGAUGACAUAUUAACCUUUGAGUUAAACUCAAAUUGCUCUUCUCUUUGUUAUAAAUUAAGAGUAUAACUAAUUUUGAUAAAAAUGGUUACUUUUCAUUAACUUAGUUUAAAGGACUAUAACACGUAAAGUUUGGUCUAUUGCAGAAUUCACAUGUAAUGUGGGACAUUUUUUAACUUUACAAACAAAAAGUCAUUUGCGCCACAAUGUACAAUACUUCCACACCAUCUGCAGUAUUGCUACGUUUACUUGAGGGAAAACAAAGACAUGAAUGCUGGAAAUUUUAACUAGUUUGUACCGUCAAUAAAGCUACCUACCUAAAAGCCAUUUAGGAUAUCAAUUCCUGUAAUUGGAUUAAUCUCAUCGUUGCUGCAAUCUUUUGACAGUGUAAUCCAAUCUUAAAUAUGUUACUCUGCAGUGCUAUCGUAAAUAUUACUCUUAAAAUUGUGGAUAGAUAUAUAGGUUUGGCACAAAAUUAAGAAUACACAAAGGCAGGAUGAAUCAUUCCAUGUUUGAACAUCUGCAACAUAAAUGCAUAUGGCAAAAGGGCUCAAACCAUACCUUAUGUUCAUGAUGUUAACAUUAAUGGGAGACAACAUUAAUGGCAAACAAUACAAAGUGGUGCAAGUUUAGCACCCUAAAGUUGACUUUGAAAAAGUGGCAUGGGAUAAAUUUUUUUGGUCCUUGAGAUAAUGGGCUAUUUAUUGUUUGGUCCUUAAACUUCAACUAUAAAUAGGCCUUCUCAUUUCUCAUUUCAAUUCAUCCCAACCAAUCUUUCUCUCUUAGUUUUCUCUCUUCUCCCAUUUGAGAAUUCUUAAGGAAUUCAAUUUGUUUGUAAUACUUUGGAGAUAGUAAAGUUAUCAUCUGGUGUUAGUGCCCGAGGACGUAGGUAUAAUUUACCGAACCUCGUUAAAACUCUUGUGUUCUUUCUUGUCCUAUUUUUCUUUCAAUAUUUGAGGGUAUAAUAGUAGUAUUUAAUUGUGCUAUUAAAUUACUAUAGAAGGGAUAUUCUGUCUAAGGAAAGACUUGGUAUUUAAGAGAUCCAUGUGAUCCACCUCUCUUCCCUGGGAAUUGAACUUUGUGUGAUUUUUUAGUACAAUAAUUUACACGCUUCCGACCCUAUUGGAACAAUACAUGAAUUCUCAUCAUCACGUGUUUAUAAAUGCAACUCAAACUUCAAUAAUUGAAUCUUUUGUAAUUCUACAUGUAUUUUUUUUUAUGGUGAGCAGUAUAAUAUUUACUAAAAAUUGAAAUUCAAGAAAGAAGCCAUACAUAGUUGCACCAUACAAGAUGUUACACUCGAACUAAACCCUUACAAAUAGUACAAAAUGCAAUGAAAUACAGAGGAAUUGGUACAAUCAUAAAGACAGACACAUACCAAUGCAACUUUUCACCAUAGGAAAAACUUUCUGACAGACUACUAAACAAGAAAUUAUGAAGACACAGCAGAAAGGCUUUAACUUCAUUUGCACCAACUAUAUCCUUCUUCAUCCAUUGAUGCGAUUGCUAUAUUUUGGUUUUCUUCUUCGCCUCUUCUCAUGUUGGUCUUCAACCAAAUUCACAAUCCUUUUCGCUUCUUCUGAGCCACCAUGGGCUCUCUGCAUCACUCACCAACCUCAUCAGAUUCGCCGGGUGCCAUUUGGCCAUCUCAGGUCUCAAAAUAGUAUCAAAAUGCACACUAAUCAUUUAUUAAUAUAAAGAACAAAAACUAAAUAAAAAAACAACAAAGAUAUCUAAAUUGCUUGAAAAUAAGCUUUUAAGUGUGAUGGAGAGCCUCAUUUAACAUAUCAAUUUAUAGUAGAUCAUAAACAUAAUUUGCGGAACAUUGUUAAAAUUUCGAAUUUCUUUAUUAGUUUUCUUUCAAUAUUCUGUAUGGUACAUUUGUAGUAAUAUAUUGUGCUGAUCAUAGACUACAUUGCUUUAUUAAUGUUCUAUUGUUAAUCUUUUAUUAUUAUUAUUAUUAUUAUUAACACCACUUCCAUUUUAUCAUAUAAUUUUUUUUCAUAAAAAUGAAGAGUUGAUUUACCAAAAAAUUGUAUUUCAUUUGAACUCCCUAAAGAAAGAAGAAGUGAUGAGAUUAGAAAGUAUAUUGACUAGGUCUUGCUUCCUUUAUAUGUAUGAAUGUGGAAUUUGGCAUAAUGCCAACUUAUUUUCCACGCAGAAGAAAAUGGUGCUCCAUCCACUCUGUUUAACUUGACAAAAUACAAGACAUGUGAUCCACCAAUGAAUGUUUGACUAUCUCCAUCUCACUUUUUAUUAAUCAAGGAAUAAAAACUUAACAUUUCAACAUUUCAUAAGCAAAAGCUAAAAUAUUGACCUUUGAACUCCAUAAUAACAUAAGUUAAAACAAAAGUUAAAACAGCCUUCAGUUCAUCUACAUUCCACAUCAAAUCUGCAAGCAUCAAAUAUUGACCUUUGAACUCCAUAAUAACAACACCAAUUUCUAACAAUUCCAGAAGAAUGUCCAGUAACUCCACACAAAUUAACAACAAUUUGCAGCAUCCACUACAUUCAUAUCAAUUCCACACAAAUUAAGACUGCUUGUUUAUAAAGCUACCUACUGCAAAUUUUGUAUUGCUUGCAAUGAAUUGACCGUCAUUUUCUAUUACUUGCCACAAAAUUGGAAUUCUGAUAAGUUUAAUUUGGAAUAUGAUCAAUUUUGGUUAAAUUGGAGUGAAUAUUACUAUUUCUGUUUUAGCAAUUAAAGCAACCUAUAUGUACCCUUUUACACUCUGCAUUGUUCCAUGUUUCAAUUCAUUACAUCAUUCCUUCAACUCUGCUAUAUAUUAUCACCGUCUCCACAUAACCAAACCUUUUACUGCUAACUUGUAAAAAAAUUAUGAAAAUACUGUCGAAACCAUUUUUUUAUUUGAAAAAUGAGAGUCGACUUUAAGAAACAAAAAUGAGAGUCGCUACCAAUCUUUUUUGAGGUGUGAUCAUAUGCGCAAGAAAAUUUGCUCUCACUUACUCUCGAAAUUUACAGUAGGGGCUUAGGCUACCAAUAAAUUCUCAAUUAGAUAAUGAAUCAUCUACGAGCAACGAUUCCAAACCACAAUGAAUUGAGAGCUCAAACUAGCUCUUCCUCUAACUCAUAGAAGGCUCUAAUGAAUCCGAGGCUUCACACAUGACAAUCACACAAUACUCACAAUCAAAUGACAGCCAAGGACCCACUUAAACUAACCAAAACACAAGCCUAAGCUACCUUCUCAUGUAACCAAACCCUUUAGCAUGAUGAAAUUAAAAUGCAAAUAUAUUGAUCUACACUUAACAUUUUCACAAGAAACAAGUUUCAUUCAUCGCCAUAUUCAUCUAUAACUAAACUCCAACCUUUAAACCACACAAAACUAUACAUUUCAAGGUAUCGACAUUUUUCGACAAGUUUUGGCUAUAAUAAUGAAAAUUCAUUAAAACACGAGAAAUCUUUAAUAGAACUUAGAAGUAAUUUUAGAAACCUUCUAAUCAAGUUAAAACAAGUUGAAAAACACUUUUAAAUCACAUUUUUAUCCACAAUCUCAAAUUCCACUAUUAAUGACCCAAUUUUUGGGUUUUAAUUAAAACAUGUCAAUUUUAAAAUCUAAAUAACAUUAAAAAUUAAUGGUAAAGUAAAUGGUUACUUUUGAUGGGAGAUUAAUUGAGUUUUGACGUAAAUUUGAAAAACGAAGAAGAUGAUGAAAUCUAUGGCAUUUUUGAGUGUUUUUCUUAGAGAUUUAUGAAGGUAAUUGACUUGGGAGUUAUAAGAAAUCAAAGUAUUAUUGUUUGGGAAUAAAAUAAAUAAAUUGAAAGAUGAAGGGAAUAGCAAAGGACGGCAAUAGCAAACUUUGGAGAGUAACCAUCGUGAAAUAGAACUGGGAUUGGGGUUUAUUAGGUUCAAUUUUAAAAAUUGGUAAAACUGCAAUAUAAGUGCUCACUAUUUUAACUUUGUUACAAAUUAUUCCUUUUUUUCUAAAAUUUAGAAAUUUAAAACUCAUUUUCAGAAAUUGACUCCAUUCCCUAAUAGCCAUUGUAGAAAACAUUAUCAAAUACUAACCUUAAGAAAUUUGAGCGCAUAUAGGCUAAAAUUCCUAAAAUACACUCGAAAUUCUUAGACCCUAUUUUGGAGUGUUACACACAUGGUCAUGAUUCAUGUUGAAUUAAUCCAUCAUUCACCGUAAUAAGACUUGUCAUUGUAAUAAUUUAUUUUGAUACGUAUUAUUUUAUGAUGCAUAAACAUCAUAAAAUUUUCUAUUAUGCAAUAAUAGAAUUAGUUAAAUCAUCUAAUAUCUAAAAAAUUAUUAUUAUUUUAAUAAAAUCAUUCAUCAAAUUCCUGUUUUCAAAUUUCAUACAUGAAAUUAACAAAUAAAGAUAGCUCUAAAUAGCAAAACAUGGUAGGAUGGUUUUGUUGUGCAAACUUAGGAUUUCAAUUCUCAUCAAGGAACUUGCAAGCCUAUUAUAGUAGAAAUGUUCUAUCCAAAUGAUAAAGAUGUUGAUGCAACAUUUUAGAUUGCAAAUUCCUUGAUCACAUUUGGAAUCCUAAGCACAGGGACUUGCAAGCCUCUUAGCUCCAGGAACUUUAGAUUGUACCUGUUCAAAACAUUUUUCAAAGAAGGAACCAUAGGCGUCUAUUCUGGUUCAUCUCAUUGAAUACAUCAAAUGGAGGAUCAAUACGCUGAAAAAGGGACAACGGAAAGAACUUUAGCCAAUAACUUGAAUUUUAUAACUACUCCUAUGCCAACCAGCAAACCAUAACAACACAAAUGUUUGUUCUGUUAAGGAACAAUACACAGACAUAUUCACCUACCCUUGGUGCUGACAGAAUAUGCCCAUUCACUUGGGUGAAAUUAGAGUUGAUAUUAACCCCACAAGAUUUCUGCACCAUAAUUACUGCUAAGUAAAACCUGCACAUCAAUUUUCAUUCUUCACUAGAAACUGAAUCUAUUUUUGUAAGUAAAAAUUAGUUGUAUUCAUUGUUCACAUAAUUGAUCUUUUGUUGUGGAAGUAUUGUAUUUCCGGUAAUCCAUUAAGUAUUCAGUGUUUGAUGCAAUAGAUUUGUAUUUUAUUAUUUUAUUUUGUGGAAGGAUCCUUUAUCUAUUUUGUUUUUUACAUUUCUGAUAAGUUUACAUUUUUCAGUAAUUAACUUAUGUUGUUUUUGCCAAACUUUGUAGCGUUUCACUUUUGGUAAAAUUUCAUCCUUGGUCCCUUUAAACUCCUUUUUGCUUUAAUUUGAUUGCUUUCUAGCGUUGCAAAUUACAUGACACUCUUCAAAUGUCUUACUAAAUUCUCACUUCUACGAGUGCUAUGAUAAUCAAAUAAAGUUCAAUUCAAUUUUAAGUUCCAUACAACACUUACAAGGCUACAAAAUGUGUCCUCAACCACAAACAAUCCAAAUUUGCAGAGAAACCACCCAUUAUAUAUAGGUUUGCCAAUGAGAUGGCAAGCAGACUGCUAGCUAGAAAUUCAUGCAUCUUUGAAUCACCAAUUCAAUUAAUAAGCUUAACUAGAGGAAAUAAGGACUUUACAUCCACCAAUUAAAGCAACCUAUAUGUACCCUUUUACAGUCUUCAUUGUUCCAUAUUUCAAUUCAUUACAUCAUUCCUUCAAUUCUGCUAUAUAUUAUUACCGUCUCCAGAUAACCAAACCUUUUACUGCGAACUUGUAAAAUAAUUAUGAAAAUACAACAGAGAUCAUUGAGACAUUGUUGAAGCUGGCUUGGAUGAAUGCCAAGCUGUCCGAGCCAUGCAAGUCGCGGCUGAAGCUUAUGCUGCUGUUUUGCUACUUUCAAAUAGAUAUUUUAUUACUUAGUUAGAUAUGAACUAAGUUUUUGAUAUGCUUGAUGUACUUAGGUGCUGAUAGAUUGAUAAAUCAGCUUUACCAAGUGUACAAGCAAUGUUUAUAAAAGAAUAAUAUUACAUAACUAAACUAAAUAACUAAAUUAAAUAAUAUUAUAAAGUUAAGAGACCAAAACAUAAAUUUUCUAAUAGAUUAGUACUUGAGGUGUAGUUUACCUUAUAAUAAAUAACUAAACUAAAUUUGUGAAUCAAUUGCAUAAUUAAAUUAAGAUUUUCAAGCCUUUUGUGAUUGGUAUUGGACCAAACCAAACUUGAAAGGAGAAAAAGAUUCAUGAAACAAUCCACUUUUAAAAGCCUUUCACUUUUCCCAAGUCCAAUACACAAAUUCACAAGAUCCCACGCUUUCAUUUAUCCUCUUCAGAAAGCAAGGUCCACAACAAGAGAUUAAUUUAGAUAUUAAUUAUUUUAUUUUAAUGGGAUAUAAUUUGAUAUUUUGUUUUUAUUUUAACUAAGUGAGUUUAAAUUAAUGAUAUUUGUUAUAAUAAUUAAGUUACACAUUCGGGAAGGUUGAUAAUAAUGUUCACACCAUAGAUGUUGUGAAGAGCCACUAAAAGUGACAAUUUAUCUAUGCUGAAAAGGUGUUUGAAUAGGAGUAUUGGACAACGUCCUACCUCAAGACUCAAAAGGGAUGCCAAUUUAAGAUCCAAGGAAGCCUUUGACUUAUCUCACUUGUGUAAGGAGCUACAGUUAUCUCUUUACUAUUAACAACAUAAUCAUAUUCUAUAAUUCACCUUUAAGGUGUCUUAUUCACUUGCUUAGGUCAACUAUACCAAAUUCACCUUUAAAGCAUUUUAUUUCGCCAAACCAAAAUUGUCAUUUGCCAUAUAGGGAUCGCCAAGCCUGCAAAAGCCAAAAUCUUUUCAAAGAUUUGCCUCGUUUAGCUUGAUUCUUCAAUUUAUCUUCUCAAUCUCAAUUAUUAACGUUGUCUCUCCAACUUGCCUCCUCAAAUUUAAUCAUCAAACGUGCAUUACGUGCUCACCAUACUACAAGAACAUAAACUUAUUUAUUUUCAAGAGGAUCACUUUAUAAAUUUUCAUCAAUUAGGGAAAAAUUAUUAUACCUCUAUAACUAUAUUUUAAAAUAUGGCGAUAUUUCAAGAUACCACCUAUCACAUUUCAAUAAAACUCGUUAUAUUUCUACCACCAUCAUAAUUAAGUAAUAGGGCAUCAUUCUAUAUGGACACACAUUAAGCUCAUUUCCUUUUAUGUAAAGUCCUCUACAUAACUUAAAAGGGAUGGAAAACAUAGAGCAAAACUCUAUAUAUCCAUUCUCUCCUAAAGCUUUCAACUCACUCUUAACAAUACUACCACUACCAUGUGAAUCACCCUUAACUGUUAACCUUUUAAAAAUAACUACUCUGUUAAUGCCAUGUAGCUAUUUUGAUUAAUGAUUUCGUUUAAUUUGUUUUCCUCCUGACUUGGAAAUGUCGACUUGACAACAAAAUGAAAUUUGCGCAUGACACCUUAAUUUUGUGGUUGGUUUUGUUGGAAUAUUUUCAAAUAUUUAUAGUAUCCCAAUAACUAUAAAUGAAUGGGUGUAAUUAAUCAAAAGAUAAAACUUUUGGUCAUUGGUCAAAAGUUAUAUCAUUUGAUUUUUUAAAAAAGAAUUAUAACUAUUCAAAAAAUAUUAUUUGAAUAGUUACAAAAUUAAAUGAAUAAUUAUUAUUAUUUAUUUAUUCAUAAAGACACCUAUUGAAAGAUGUCUCUAUGAAGAGACAUGAAAAUUCCUAUAAAUAGGAAUAGGAUUUCAUUUGGAAAUCAUAUCAACAAAUUCUAAUAUUAUUUCUUCUCUUCCUUCAUUUUCUAAUAUUAUUAGAUUAUUCUAUAAAGUAUUGCUGCAGAAAUCCUUUGUAGAAAUUGAGUUUUUGUUAUACAUUACUCAGUGCAUAGUGGACUAUUCUCGUCAGUGCAAAACGCAAAUAGUCAUUGGCUUCAUUGUAUCCUCGAGGUUAAUUUGCUUGGAACUCGUUUGCACACUGAAGAUAAGUGGAGGCGAAUAUAACCUUAAAGAUAGUGGCUUGAUACACGCCUUGGAGCCUGUCCUAUUUCUUCUUUUUCUUUUCGAGUUCCGAUCGUGUGUUCAAGUUUUUUUCUUACCGGAGUUUUGUACUAACAAUUUUAAGGUUAUAUUUCAUGAUGACUACCACAACACAUGAAAGUGGAACACUAAGGGAGUUGGCUUCCAACUUUGUUAAACUUGAUCGUUUUGAUGGUGGCAAUUUUCGACGAUGGCAGAAAAAGAUGCACUUUUUGUUAUCAACUUUGAAUAUUGCUUAUGUUUUGGAUACUCCAAGACCUGAAGAGAAUGAAAAUGAAUCUGUUGCUGCAACCCGAGAAAGACAAAAAUGGGACAAUGCUGAUUACAUGUGCAUGGGCCACAUAUUGAAUGGUUUAUCUGAUGGUUUGUUCGACACCUACCAAAACGACGUCACCGCUAAAGAAUUAUGGGACAAAUUGGAGGCAAGAUACAUGACCGAAGAUGUUACAAGUAAGAAAUUUCUUGUCAGUCGUUUCAAUAAUUAUCAAAUGGUUGAUGGUCGUUCUGUUAUGGAACAAUUUCGUGAUAUUGAAAAGAUGCUGAAUCAAUUUAAGCAAUAUGAUAUGAAAAUGGAUGAAAUGAUUGUGGUAUCCUCCAUAAUAGACAAACUUCCUCCAUCUUGGAAAGACUUUAAAAGAAGUCUAAAACAUAAGAAAGAGGAAAUAUCUCUUGAGGCUUUGGCAAAUCAUCUUCGUAUUGAAGAAGAGUAUCAAAAACAAGAUCAGAACCUAAAUUCUAAAAAUGCCGAAGUACAUGUUAUGGAGGAAGUACAGACUACUAAACCAUUCAAGAGAAAGUUCAAUCAGACUGAUAGAGCACCUAAGUUCAAAAAGAAACAAAAGGGCUCAUGCUAUCAUUGUGGAAAGCCGGGACAUUUCAAGAAUGAAUGUCGAUUUUUAAAGAAGAAAUCAUCUUCUAAGGCUGAUAAUAACGAAAAGUUCGUUGCAAUGAUAUCUGAAAUUAAUAUGGCACAAGAUGAUAAUACAUGGUGGAUUGAUACCGGAGCAACCAAACAUGUGUGCAAAGACAAAAGCAUGUUCACAAAGUUCACACAAUGUGAAAAUGACAAUGUCUUGUACAUGGGAAAUUCUUCCACCGCAACAAUUAAAGGCAAAGGGUCUGUUGAACUACAAUUCACUUCUGGAAAGGUUUUAACCUUAAAUGAUGUAUAUUAUGUACCAAAAGUUAGGAAAAAUUUAGUGUCUGGAAGUCUGUUGAAUAAGUUUGGUUUCAAACUUGUUUUUGAGGCAGAUAAGUUUAUUUUGUCUAAGGGAGGAAUUUUUGUGGGAAAAUGGUAUAUGUAUGAAAGCAUGUUCAAACUUAAUAUUAUUAAUAAGAAUAAAAAUACUAUUUCUGCUUAUAUGGUUGAAUCAUUUUGUUUGUGGCAUUAUAGAUUAGGUCAUUUGAAUUAUAGAAAAUUGAAUGACAUGUAUAAAUUAGAUUUAAUUCCUGUUUUUAAUAAUAAUAUUGAAAAAUGCAAUACCUGUAUGUUGACUAAAAUUACAAGAAAUCAUUUCCCUAAGGUUAAAAGGAAAACAAAAUUGCUUGAUUUGAUACAUAGUGAUUUAUGUGACUUGCAUAAUACUCCUACAUUAGGUGGAAAGAAAUAUUUUGUUACUUUUAUUGAUGAUUGUUCUAGAUAUUGUUAUGUAUAUUUAUUGCAUUCAAAAGAUGAAGCGCUUGAUAAAUUUAAAGUUUAUAAAUCUGAAGUUGAACUUCAGUGUGAAUCAUUUAUCAAGUGCUUAAGAUCGGAUAGAGGUGGAGAAUACUAUAAUCCAAGUUAUUUUGAACUCACUAGAAUUGUCCAUCAAGUUUCAGCCCCUUACACACCACAACAAAAUGGUGUAGUUGAAAGGAAAAAUAGAGUCUUGAUUGAAAUGGUAAAUUCAAUGUUAUCAUAUUCAGGUCUUGGACAGGGUUUUUGGGGAGAAGCUGUUCUAACAGCUUGUCAUAUAUUGAAUAGAGUUCCUAAUAAAGAAACUAAAAUAACCCCCUAUGAACAAUGGAAGAAAAGGAAACCAAACUUUAAUUAUUUAAAGGUUUGGGGUUGUAGAGCUUGGGGUUGUAGAGCUAUUGUAAAAGUUCCAACACCUAAACGUAAAAAGUUAGGUGAAAGAGGAAUUGAAUGCAUAUUUAUAGGUUAUGCACAUAAUAGCAAGGCAUAUAGGUUCAUAGUAAUUGAACCAAAUGAUUCAAUUUCAAUUAAUACGGUUAUUGAAUCAAGAGAUGCUAUUUUUGAUGAAAAUAGAUUUAAUUCUAUAUCAAGACAAUUACAACCACAACAAUUGAUUCAUUCUUCAAAUGAGAAUGAGAUUCCAUUGAAACAAAUUGAUAAUAAUGAUGAAUCUUGUCAAGAAUUAAGAAGAAGUAAUAGGAUUAAAAAGGUCAAAGAUUUUGGACCAGAUUUCAUUAUGUUUCUUGUAGAAGGAAAAGGUGAAAGUAUAUGCAAUAAGAUACCUUAUUGUUAUAAUACCGAAUCUGAUCCUAUUACAUUUGAAGAAGCAGUGAAAUCUCAAGACUCUGCUUUUUGGAAAGAAGCAAUAAAUGAUGAAAUGGAUUCAAUAAUGGGAAAUCAAACUUGGAUCUUAGUUGAUCAUCCACCAGGUUCCAAACCAAUAGGUUGUAAAUGGAUCUUCAAAAAGAAAAUGAAGGUCGAUGGAACCAUUGAUAAAUUUAAAGCAAGGUUGGUAGCAAAAGGUUUUACACAAAGACAAGGUAUUGAUUCCUUUGAUACCUAUGCUCCAGUAGCAAGAAUUGCUACAAUUAGACUAUUAAUAUCACUUACCUCUAUAUAUAAUUUGGUUGUUCACCAAAUGGAUGUUAAAACUGCAUUUUUAAAUGGUGAAUUGGAAGAGGAAGUGUACAUGGAGCAACCGGAAGGAUUUGUUGUUCCAGGACAAGAGCAUAAGGUAUGUAAGCUUGUUAAAUCUUUAUAUGGGCUUAAACAAGCACCAAAACAAUGGCACCAAAAGUUUGACAAGGUUGUUUUAGCUAAUGGCUAUAAAAUAAAUGAAUCCGAUAAGUGCAUAUAUAGUAAAUUUGAUAAUGGAAAGGGUGUUAUAAUUUGCUUAUAUGUAGAUGACAUGCUCAUUUUUGGCACGGAUUUGGAAUAAAUAGAAAACACAAAGAAAUUCUUGUCAAACAACUUUGCUAUGAAGGAUAUGGGUGUAGCAGAUGUUAUUCUUGGGAUUAAAAUAACCCGAGAUGAAAGCACUAUAGCUUUAUCACAAUCACAUUACAUUGAAAAUGUGCUUAAAAAGUUUGAUCUUUUCAACUGUAUACCAGCAUCUACACCCAUGGAUCCUCAAUUAAAAUUAGUAUCUAAUGCUGGUAGGAAAAUUGAUCAAUUGAAAUAUGCAAGUCUAAUUGGUUGUCUUAUGUACAUAAUGACUUGUACAAGACCAGAUAUUGCAUAUGCUAUUGGAAAAUUGAGUAGAUACACAAGUAAUCCAAGUAGUUUGCAUUGUCAAGCUUUAAAUAGAGUACUUAGGUACUUAAAGAAAACUAUUAACUAUGGAUUGUGUUAUAAUGGAUAUCCUCCAGUUUUAGAAGGGUAUUCGGAUGCUAGUUGGAUUACAAGUUUGGAAGAUCAUGCAUCUACUAGUGGGUGGAUCUUCAUUCUUGGUGGAGGAGUCAUUUCUUGGGGUUCCAAGAAACAAACAUGUAUUACUGAUUCCACCAUGGCAGCAGAAUUUAUUGCAUUAGCCGCUGCAUCUAAAGAAGCAGAAUGGUUAAGAAAUUUGCUUUAUGAUGUACCUUUAUGGCUUAAGCCAAUUUCACCUAUUUCUAUCCGUUGUGAUAGUGAGGCUACUCUAGCAAAGGCAUAUAGCCAAGUAUAUAAUGGAAAGUCUAGACACAUUGGAUUAAGACAUAGUUAUGUCCGACAAUUAAUCUCUGAUGGAGUGAUCACUAUUAAUUAUGUGAGGUCAAGUGAAAAUUUGGCAGAUCCUUUGACAAAAAGUCUUGCUAGAGAUGCAGUAAAAAGGACCUCAAAAGGGAUGGGACUCAAGCCUAUUAAUUAGAGCCACCCAUUAUGGAAACUCGACUCAACGCUUGGUAUAACGUCAAGUCUUGAGUUCAAUGAGACAAAGUACAUCAUUAGUAUGUGACUGUUAGCACUAUAAAUAAAUCCAUCCUAAGAUUAAAGUGCUAGGUACCCGUAAUGAUAAGGGAAGGAUGAGUAAUGUACUCUUAAUGGACCCAUAACAUAAAUAUGUUAGAGUGUUAUAAUUACGGGAACACUUUUGAUGGGAUCUACCUAUGUGAGUGGAAGUGUGGCCGCUUCUAGGAGCUUAAGGGCUUGGCUCUGACAGCACUCAUGAAAAGAGGACAUAGACACAUGGCUAUAAUAGUGUCCCUAGAUACUAUGCAUUGACUGAUGUUGAAAUCAUUGUGUGAGAUAUGUUCAGUUAAUCAAAUGGAAUAGUUGGUUCAAAGCUUAGUCUACCAUACAAUUUCGAUUAACUUUAACAUGUUUUCACUAAGUGAAGGUUCAAUCGUAAGACACCUUUAUUUAUGCAAAUUGAUUUCCAAGAAUAUCAAAAUCUAAAUAUUUUGAAAAUGGGGGGAGAUUGUUGGAAUAUUUUCAAAUAUUUAUAGUAUCCCAAUAACUAUAAAUGAAUGGGUGUAAUUAAUCAAAAGAUAAAACUUUUGGUCAUUGGUCAAAAGUUAUAUCAUUUGAUUUUUUAAAAAAGAAUUAUAACUAUUCAAAAAAUAUUAUUUGAAUAGUUACAAAAUUAAAUGAAUAAUUAUUAUUAUUUAUUUAUUCAUAAAGACACCUAUUGAAAGAUGUCUCUAUGAAGAGACAUGAAAAUUCCUAUAAAUAGGAAUAGGAUUUCAUUUGGAAAUCAUAUCAACAAAUUCUAAUAUUAUUUCUUCUCUUCCUUCAUUUUCUAAUAUUAUUAUAUUAUUCUAUAAAGUAUUGCUGCAGAAAUCCUUUGUAGAAAUUGAGUUUUUGUUAUACAUUACUCAGUGCAUAGUGGACUAUUCUCGUCAGUGCAAAACACAAAUAGUCAUUGGCUUCAUUGUAUCCUCGAGGUUAAUUCGCUUGGAACUCGUUUGCACACUGAAGAUAAGUGGGGGCGAAUAUAACCUUAAAGAUAGUGGCUUGAUACACGCCUUGGAGCCUGUCCUAUUUCUUCUUUUUCUUUUCGAGUUCCGAUCGUGUGUUCAAGUUUUUUUCUUACCGGAGUUUUGUACUAACAGGUUUGACGGUCAUCUUGAAGCAUAUAUAAAAUUAAAUGAUUGAAUUAUUGAAAUCAUGAAAUAAAAUAAUUAUGAAAUCAGAAUUUAAGGUUAGAGGUUAUUUUUAGAAAUUUAACUUUUUAAUUAAUUAAUUUAGCACAAAUUUUAUACAAGUCAUGAACUUAAUUUCAUCAAAUUAUAUUAUCCAACUUUUACUGUUAAUAAAUUAAGCGGUAAAAAAAAACACAUGUCUUGAUAUAAAAUAUCAAAAUUGAUUAUAUUGAAGGUGGUACAAAUAAUUGCAAGAAAUUGUAAUUAUUAGGUAGUGAUUAUAACCUCUCAUAAUAAAUUUUGAAAAUAAUUAAUGUUAAUUAUUCACGUAAUUCUUCUAAUUUUCAAUUAUUUCCUUAAAAAUUAAAAAGUAACAAAAAUAUAUAUAUAAAUUAUAAUGGUUAAGAAAAUAUGUCAUAAAUAUGUAAUUAUAAGUAAUUACAUCAAAAUUUAAUUACUACUGCUUUCUAAACACCCCUAAAAUUUAAAUAUAAUCAUUUCUUUGUUUAAAUAUGCUAAAGAUUUCUAUACUCUUUUAAAAUUUAAAUUUUAGUCUCCAUGCUUUAAUUUUGAGACAUUGAGUUCUUAUAGUUUUUUAUUUAAAAAUCUUGGUUUCUCCAUCUAAUUUUGCCAUUAAAAUUAAUGGUGUCAACGGUAAAAUAAAUUUUUAACCCUCAACAUAUAUUGUGCAGAUCAUAGACUAAAUUGCUUUAUUAGUUUUCUAUUGUUAAUCUUAUUAUUAUUAUUAUUAUUAUUAUUAUUGUUAACACCACUUCCAUUUUAACAACACCAAUUUCUAACAAUUGCAGAAGAAUGUCUAGUCAUUCCACACAAAUUAACAACAAUUUGCAGCAUCCACUACAUUCAUAUGAAUUCCACACAAAUUAAGACUGCAAAUUCUAACUUGUUUAUACCCUCAAUGAAGUUACCUACUGCAGAUUUUGUAUUGCUUGGAAUGAAUUGACUGUCAUUUUCUACUACUUGCCACAAAAUUUUGUAUUGCUUUAAAUUCAAACAGGAAGAAGAAAACAUGAAAAGAUGAUGAGAUGAGCAUGAAGAUUGCUAUAAAUUUGAUCCACCAAUUAAUAAGCUAACUAAAGGAAAUAAGGACAUUUGAUCCACCAAUUAAUGUUUGAAUUCACUAUAGUACUAUGCUUUUUACUGUCAAAAUCUUGGAUGCAGAGAUUAUUGGGACUAAAAAAUGAGAGUCAUGAAAGAAGACAUAAAUAGUUGAACCAUACAAAAUGUUACAUUUAAAACAAACCCUUACAAAUACUACGUAAUGCAAUGAAAUAUAGAUGAAUUGUUACAAUAACAAAGACAGAUGCAUGGCAAUGCAACCUUUCACCAUAGGAAAAAAAUUGGACAGACUUCAAAACAAGAAAUUAUGAAGAUACUGUUGCGGAAGCGACGAUAAUAUUAAUAACAAUAUUAUCAGAAAUAUUUAGAUAAUUAUUAUGCCAACAAUUAUACUAAGAAAAUUCCCAGUUAAAUUGGAGGGGUCACAAAUGGUCCCGCUUAAAACCCAACAACUAGACAGAACUCACUUAGAUAUUUAUAGCAAUAAUAACUAAAUAAAUAUAACCAACAUAAAGCUAUUAAAUAUAAGCAAACAAAUAAGAAAUAAAAUACCAGAGAUUUAACGAGGUUCGGCCAAUUUAGCUUACGUCCUCGGACACUACCAAAUCAAUAUUUCUACUAGAAAUAUUACAAAGGAGAAGAUUUUUUGGGAUGAUACAACCAAAGGGGGAGGGGUUCUAUAUAUAACAAACCAAACCCCCUCCCUUUCUAUCUUUUCCUAAUGUGGGAUAUUGCCAAUAUUCAACAAAUCUCCACCUUGGCGAUAUUCCACAUCUUCGAACAUCUUCUCAUAACACUAACUUCAAUAGUGUCUUCAAAUUUGCAACCAAUCGCCUUCUUCCCUUUUGGUAGUUGUGCCAGCUUCCACGUCUUGUUUUUCUCUAGAGAUUGCAUUUCCUCUUCCAUUGCACCUAACCAUCUAUUAUUCUCUAAACUCUGAAUGGCUUUGGUGUAAGUGGAUGGAAUAUUAUCAACAACUGGAAGUGCAUAAGCUACCAUGUCAGUGAAACGAGCAGGUUUCUGAAUUUCUCGUCUCUGCCUUCUGACUGCAAUUGGCUCUGAUUGCUGUUGAGGUUCUUGGGUAGAAACCUCUUCCUCAUCUGACUCUGCAUCUGCCAAUGAAGAAUCACUAGUGGUACCUUCUGCUGGAAUUACCACACUCUGCUCAAACUCCACCUGCUGCGGAGUACACUCCACCUGCUGCGAAGUACUACUCACUCCUUCUGGAUUUACCUUAUUCAACAUGGCAGAUUCAUGAAAGGUAACAUCCCUACUGAUUAUCGUCUUCUUUGCCUCUAGACACCACAAACGAUAUCCCUUAACACCAGCAUUGAAGCCCAUGAAUAGAGCCUUCUUUGCUCUUGGAUCUAACUUUGAUUCUUUCACAUGAUAAUAUGCAAUAGAACCAAAAAUGCGCAAGGUGUCAUAAUCAGUAGCAGGUUUUCCAUACCAUUUUUCCAAAGGAGUCUUGCCAUUUAUAGCAGAUGAUGGCAAAUGAUUGAUGAGAUGUUGAGCGUACGUCACAGCCUCAGUCCAAAACUUUCUAUCUAAUCCAGCAUUAGAUAACAUACAUCGAACUUUCUCCACAAGCGUUCGAUUCAUUCGCUCUGCCACCCCAUUCUGUUGCGGUGUUCCACCUACGGUGAAGUGCCUUACUAUGCCACAAUCUUGGCAUAUCUUCAGGAAAGGAUCGCUUUUAUAUUCUCCACCGUUGUCUGAUCGGAGAACCUUAAUCUUCCUUCCUGUCUGAUUUUCAACUUUAGUUUUCCACUUAAGGAAAACUUCAAGCACCUCAUCUUUGUUCUUCAUAGGAAACACCCAAACUCGUCUGGAAAAAUCAUCAAUAAAGGUGACAAAAUAACGUCUUCCUCCAAGUGAUGGAGUCUUGGACGGUCCCCAUACAUCAGAAUGCACAUAAUCCAGAAUACCUUUAGUAUUGUGAAUCCCAGUGCCAAAUUUCACCCUUCGUUGUUUUCCCAGAACACAAUGCUCGCAAAAUUCAAGUUUGCAAGUCUUUGUACUUUUCAAUAAUCCUUGCUUGGCUAGAGUUUGCAAGGAUUUUUCACCAGCAUGGCCCAAACGCAUAUGCCACAGCUGUGUUGCCUCAGCGUCCUUCUUGGUACUCGAAAUUGCUGCUGCUGUUGUCCCGACCACUGUACUACCUUGGUAGUAAUACAGAUUGUUCUUUCUUAUGCCAUUCAACAUCACCAAUGCUCCUGAAGUUGCUUUAAGAACUCCAUCUCGUAUUGUCACAACUAGGCCUUUAGAUUCUAACGACCCCAAAGAGAUGAGAUUCUUCUUCAACUUUGGGACAUAUCGUACAUCCCGCAAAAUUCUAGUAGAUCCAUCAUGACUCCUCAGUUUAAUUGAACCUAUCCCGGCUAUUUUACAUGUGUUAUCAUUACCCAUGUAAACAACCCCUUCAUCUAGUUUUUGAAAUUCAAAGAACCAUUCCCGAAUGGGACACAUAUGAUAGGAACAACCAGAAUCCAUGAUCCACUCAUCUGCAUAUAAUGUUGAAGAUGUCAUACUAAGAGAAAAGUUUGACUCUGCUUCACUAUUGCAUUUUGCAACAUUUGCAUCUUGCGGAGUCUUCCCUUUUUUCUUCAAUUUUGGACAAUCUUUCUUCCAAUGUCCUUUUUCUUUGCAAAAGGAACAUUCAUCUUUGGCAACAGCUCGACCUUUGGACUUUCUUCUCUUCCCAUUAGACUGACUUUGCUGACGACCUCUUGUUACCAAUGCUUCCACUGCUGCUUCACCUGAACCUUUCAACUUAUCCUUUCGGCGUAAUUCAUAGCUAUACAAUGCAGCAGUUACUUCAUUGAAAGUUACUUCCGAUUUUCCAUGAAGUAGAGUAGUUUCAAGGUACUCAAACUCCUCAGGAAGCGAUCCCAACAACAUUAACGCCAAGUCUUCGUCUUCAAAAGUCACAUCCAAAUUCAACAAAUCAGCCACCAGCUGAUUAAAAUUGGUAAUGUGCUCGUUCAUCGUGGUACCAGGAACAUAAUUGAAACGAAACAGUCUUUUCAUCAUAUGCAACUUAUUUUGACUGUUCUUCUUCAAGAAUUUCUCCUCCAAUGCUUUCCACAAUUUACUUGCAGAAGUCUCUUUACUGAAUGUAUACUUCUGCUCUCUGGAAAGACAUGAUCGAAUUGUACCACAUGCCAAUCGGUUGAUGGUCUUCCAUUCUUUAUCAUCAACCCCUUCUGGUUUUUCUUCCUCAAUGGCAAUAUCUAGACCCUGUUGAAAGAGGGCAUCUAGAAGCUCACUUUGCCACAUGCCAAAAUGACCUGUUCCAUCAAAAAUUUCCACUACAAAUCUCGUAUUUGCAGUUCCAAUCCUCGGCAAAAUGUACGAAGUGGAAGUUGUUGAUAUGGAUGGUUUUUCUUCUGUCAUUUUUGCCAUAGCUUCUACUUAAUAGCCACCAAAUGCAGAAUACCCACAAGCUUUAGGAAAUGUUUCUGAUGUGUAAGAUCAGACUAAGCUGCAAACACAGAGCAUACUACAAAACCUUGGCUCUGAUACCAAUUGUUGCGGAAGCGACAAUAAUAUUAAUAACAAUAUUAUCAGAAAUAUUUAGAUAAUUAUUAUGCCAACAAUUAUACUAAGAAAAUUCCCAGUUAAAUUGGAGGGGUCACAAAUGGUCCCGCUUAAAACCCAACAACUAGACAGAACUCACUUAGAUAUUUAUAGCAAUAAUAACUAAAUAAAUAUAACCAACAUAAAGCUAUUAAAUAUAAGCAAACAAAUAAGAAAUAAAAUACCAGAGAUUUAACGAGGUUCGGCCAAUUUAGCUUACGUCCUCGGACACUACCAAAUUAAUAUUUCUUCUAGAAUAUUACAAAGGAGAAGAUUUUGGGAUGAUACAACCAAAGGGGGAGGGGUUCUAUAUAUAAAUAUCUAAGUGAGUUUUGUCUAGUUGUUGGGUUUUAAGCGGGACCAUUUGUGACCCCUCUAAUUUAACUGGGAAUUUUCUUAGUAUAAUUGUUGGCAUAAUAAUUAUCUAAAUAUUUCUGAUAAUAUUGUUAUUAAUAUUAUCGUCGCUUCCGCAACAAUUGGUAUCAGAGCCAAGGUUUUGUAGUAUGCUCUGUGUUUGCAGCUUAGUCUGAUCUUACACAUCAGAAACAUUUCUUAAAGCUUGUGGGUAUUCUGCAUUUGGUGGCUAUUAAGUAGAAGCUAUGGCAAAAAUGACAGAAGAAAAACCAUCCAUAUCAACAACUUCCACUUCGUACAUUUUGCCGAGGAUUGGAACUGCAAAUACGAGAUUUGUAGUGGAAAUUUUUGAUAUGGAUGGUUUUUCUUCUGUCAUUUUUGCCAUAGCUUCUACUUAAUAGCCACCAAAUGCAGAAUACCCACAAGCUUUAGGAAAUGUUUCUGAUGUGUAAGAUCAGACUAAGCUGCAAACACAGAGCAUACUACAAAACCUUGGCUCUGAUACCAAUUGUUGCGGAAGCGACGAUAAUAUUAAUAACAAUAUUAUCAGAAAUAUUUAGAUAAUUAUUAUGCCAACAAUUAUACUAAGAAAAUUCCCAGUUAAAUUGGAGGGGUCACAAAUGGUCCCGCUUAAAACCCAACAACUAGACAGAACUCACUUAGAUAUUUAUAGCAAUAAUAACUAAAUAAAUAUAACCAACAUAAAGCUAUUAAAUAUAAGCAAACAAAUAAGAAAUAAAAUACCAGAGAUUUAACGAGGUUCGGCCAAUUUAGCUUACGUCCUCGGACACUACCAAAUCAAUAUUUCUACUAGAAAUAUUACAAAGGAGAAGAUUUUUUGGGAUGAUACAACCAAAGGGGGAGGGGUUCUAUAUAUAACAAACCAAACCCCCUCCCUUUCUAUCUUUUCCUAAUGUGGGAUAUUGCCAAUAUUCAACAGAUACAACGUACACACUUGAACAUCAUUUCCACUAACUAGAUCCUUCUUCGUCCAUUGCUGCGACUGCCAUCCUUUCACUUUCUUCUUCGCUUCUUCUCAUGUUGGAUUUCAACCAAAUUCACCAACCAUUUCGGCUUACCAAUUUGGAAAACAACAUAUCCCACGACCAUUCCAAACACUACUCCGCAUCCAUAACCUAUCAACACCAAUUUCCAACCAAAAGAGAUGUUUGAUUUUGAACCAUCAUGCAUCAUUUACUUUGCAAACAAUUUCACAAGUAACCAAUCAUCAUCUUUAUUCAGUCCUACGUAUCAGUUGUAGUAGUUCAACCACUUCUUAUCAUUAAAACAUGCCAUACAUACACUAAGGGUAUUAAAAACAUCAAUCAAACCUAGAAAUAGGCCCAGUUGCAAAAUUUCUAAAACUGUUACAUAGGUAUUGAUACUGUCCUAGGGCUAUCCAUAUUUUUUUUAAGUGGUAUUGAUAUCACAUGGAAAAUCAAUACUAAACUAGCAUUCUAUCUCUCACCAAAUAUCAAAACAUAAAAAAUUAUUGGUACCUUUCGCAAGGUAUCAAUAAACUUACCCGAAGUAUUGAUUCCUGGGCUGAAGUAUCGAUACCAAAUACAUAUUUUGUUUCCCUGUACCUUCGAAAAUGCAAAGAUACCCUUUUUAGAAAAUAAAAUAUCGAUACCUCCACUACAGGCUAUAAAAUCUUAGCAUACUCCAACAUUAAAACCAUUCAAACUUAAUCCCAAACAACAUGCUUCAUUCACAUAGUUAAAGAACAGUGUAAUCGAAUGUUAAAUAUGUUACUCUGCAAUGCCGUUGUAAAUAUGACUGUUAAAUUUGUUGAUAGCUAUACUGGUUUGGCACAAAAUUAAGAAUACACAGGCAGGUUGAACUAUUCCAUGUAUGAACCUUUGCAACAUAAAUGCAGAUGGCACAAAGACGCAAACCAUACCUUAUGUUCUUGAAUUCUCAUCAUCACAUGCUUAUAAAUGCAACUCAAGCUUACCUAAUUGAAUCUUUUGGUAAUUCAAAAUGUAUUUUUUUUUGUAGUGAGCAGUACAAGGACAUUAGAUCCACCAAUUUCUGUUUGAAUUCAUUACGUCAUUCAGCUCUGCUAUGUACUAUUAUUUCCAAAAAUCUUGAAAGGAGACAUCCUCCAAUUUAAAGACAAGAAAUGAGAAAGAAUGGCAGUGAAUAAAUAAGGAAAAACCAUGUAUAUUCAGAACCACAAUAAAACAAAUAUUUUAUAUGUAUUUUCUCAAUCGUAUUAGUGAAAUGCUAUAAAUUUUGUAACAAUUUUUUACUAAAUAUAAAAUAUUAAAAUUAAUACAUAUGGUGAUAUUGGAUAUACAGAGAAGACCCAAGCAUGAAGUUUGAGCGGGUCCUUGUACUCUGCAAUCUUGUGGUAAAUCCUUGAACUACAUUUAUGAAUACUAAAAUAUUAAUUACCUCACUAAUUGAUGAAUCCUGAAAGUGCUCUUACGUUUUCUUAUAAAAGAACAAAGAUUACCUUGAAUAUUUGAAUUCAUUACAUCAUUGAGCUCUGCCAUGUUUUAUUACUAUGACCAUAUAACUUCAUCCUUUAAGCUUGUACAGCUAAUUGUCGAUUCACUUCACAUGCUCUUUUAUCCUUUCAUGGUCGGUCCAACUUAAUCUACAAGCAAUGAGGAAAUUCGGGGACAAUUACAGCACAAUUCCGCACAAAAUAACAACAAUUUGUAGUAUUGAUUACGUUGACUUGAGAAAUAGAGAGGAAAAAAAAACAUGCUUGUCUGUACCGUCAAUGAAGCUACCAUAUGAAUGCAUUCCAUGAAGCAUAAGCAAACAUAUGUACGAGUACCCAAUUUAAGUUCAACUUUAAGAUAGAUUAAUUAGUUUAUAUGUAGCAAUUUUACAGCUGAAAAUUUUCUGAACAUUAGAAUUGUCCAACAUAUCUACAAUGCUAUUUGUACAUUUUUUUAUCAGUAACUACUGCUAAAAUAAUUUCCUGUAAGGCGAGAUUACGGUUAAUUUAAAUUAGCUUAAGUUCGAUUUCUCAACAUGAAAAAAACAUAACAAAAUCCCUCUUAUAACGUGCCCUUCGCACAUUGAAGUAUUGACUAUGCUUAGUGGAAUAAUGUAGAGAUACAACCCCCAAUUGCAUCUUCAUUAAAGCCUACUUAUAGGAAAAUAGGGACAUGGGAUCCACCAAUUGUACCUUAGCUGCUGCCCUUAUUUCACGUCAAUGCAAGACUAUUGUUGUCAGACAAACUUAAUCAACAAACCGUGAGAAAAUUUCCGGUCGACAUUUACACCACAAUAUACAAUAAUAAAAAUUUUGCUCAUAAUGUUUACGCAAUUUGAUCAUAAUUCCAAAAAUUUAUAUAUUCUUUUAAUUUGAUGUAAUUCUAAAAAUUAUAAUAAAAAUGAAGUUCGAGCUAAGAAAAGCUCUUCUAAUAAGGUUCAAGUGACAAGGGGGAGUGCCCACUACUUUGGACACUACCCAUCACGGGAGGGUGAAAAUAAGAUUCACAGUUACUAGAGAGAUUGAAUCCCUUGCAGGAUCCAAGAAAUAUAAAGGCAAGGUUCUUGUUGUAGUAAAAUCUAGCAAGAAAAGAAAGAUUUUGUUGGACGAUUCCUCGCUUCUGAGACAAGUUCGAAUUCAUCAUCCAAGAGCGCACCUCUUUGUGUCAUGCUACAGCCUUAAACAAAGCAUCCUAAUGUUCUUGUUCUGCUGCAAAAAAGAACAAAAGGAUGAAACAAGUUGGGGUGCCAAAAUUUUUUUCUGAUGCAACUACAUCAACAAGAAAGCAGGAAGAAAGAAUCCUGGACUAGAAAAAGAAACUUUUCCUGGAUCCGGACUGCUCCAAUUCCAUAUCUUGUCCUUUCAUAACAAUUCCAAUGGAAUAGAUAUAGAAGGCACUACCUCUAUGGCCAUACACCCCCAUGUACGACACUGUACUACCGAUCUUCUCUAGAUUUAUGAUAGCCUUGAAGCUGUUGAUGUAUCUCACUGGUAGGGGUCCAGAAAAAUAAUUACUUGAGAGGUCAAAAUUUUGGAUUUUAGAGAAAAAAAGGGAUAGACUUGGAGCUAUGGUCAUGCAAGGAACCAUGCAUUUGAUUUAACUUUAGUACAAGAACUUAUAGCUGUGGAAGUGAUACAUGAUGGGAUGAAAUUUAUUAAAUUUCAAUCACCAACGCUGUCAAUUUUCAAGCUUGAGAAAUCAGCAGACUUGCGACGACUUGUUGUGUGGUAUCCUGGAAUUUUUGGGUUGAGAUUUCAAUGAAGUUGGAAGAUCUGUCUCUUAGCUUCGAAACGUAUUUUGAAUCACUCAAUUUUGAGUUCGGGAGCUCAAGUUAUGACCAUUUUAGUGAAGGCUGCGCAAGCAGAAUUUUUGAACGGGAUUAUGACGGGAAUUACAAAUUUCGGGCUUUUAAUUCGAGUUUAAAUCAUAUUUGGUUCGGUUGUAGGUUUAAUUUUUAUUAUAUAUGAGACCAAUAUUGUAUUAAUCAGCUCUUAUUAUUCUAUUAUUAGUUUGUUCUAAAUUUUUUUAUAAUUAUUAAGUAUUUUAAGUUAUUUAGGAGUUUUAUGUUAACAAGAAAGUUUAAUUUAAAACUAUUUUUUGUUUAGAUUAAAUUAGAGUUCUAGUAUACUUAAAAAUUUUAUUUAGAUUUAUUUAGCUAGACUAUAUAUAGGCCUUUUCAUUGUACACAAUUCAUUAUUAUUCUAUUUCUCUUAGAGUUAAUAAAUUCUCUCUAGAUUUUUCUUUUCAAGAAUUUCUCUUAAGUUUCUUUUAGAAGAGUUUUAACAAUCUUUUUAGAUUGUGGAGAUCAUCUUCAAACUUUUUUUUACCAAGAUUUCUAUCCUGGAGGGGAAAUUAGAGUUGUUUGAAAUGGGUUAUAGAUUCUUUGUGUUUGCAAGGCUUCUUAAGACUACAUGUCACGUUCUAUCUUUUUAUUUAUCUUGGAAGAGAAAUUAGAACUGCUUGAAGGGGGUUUUGGAUUCUUCGUGUUUCUAAAGCUUCUUAGGACUUCUAUACGUCACAUUCUAUCUUUCUAUUUAUUUUCUUUAUUCAUUUCCUUAUUGUUCUAAUAUUUGAUUUAUUUUUUUAUUCUAGUUAUUUAUUUUAAUUGUUUUAUCUGAUUUCGAUUUGAUUUCGUUUUAGGUUGUGUCAAAAUCUAAAUUUCUUUCCAAACGUGUAGAGCCCUAAGUCAAAUCCACGACUUUGACAAACUUUACGAUCCUCUUCUGUGUUCAUCCGUCUCAUUUUUUAUCAGGAAGACUUCCCAGCCAAUGAGGAAAUGUACCAUUGAUCUUGUUGUUACCAAGAUCUAGCUUAGCACUUUCAGUCCUUUACAAUUAAGGAUGGUGUCAAAGGCCCUUCUAACAGAUUUCCAUUUAAGUUGAAAUUACUCAAUUGGAAUCCCUUUGCAAAUGUUAGAGGAAUCGUCCCAUAAAACUUGUUCUUCUUCAGAUUCAUGAAUUCAAGGAUGUUGCUCAAAUCUCCAAAACAUUGCGAAAUUGUUCCACUCAAAUUAUUGUGGGACAAAUCAAGAAUUCGAAGAGAACUGGCAUUGCAUAUUAAAGAAGAGACCUCUCCAUUGAAACUAUUAUUUCAGAUCAGAAAGACUCCGAUCGUCGAAGCUGGAAUCAAAAGAUUUCCACUGAUCAAAUUGGAGCUUAAGUCAAGAAAUGCAAUAUUCUUCCAUUGAGUAGAUUGUCAAUUAAGAUUAAAGAUAUUAGAUUAGGAAAAGCAGCUACUUCAUCUGGAAUUGAACUUUCUAAUGAAUUUCUAGCUAUUUCCAAGUAUUCAAGUUGCGUUAGGUUUAAAAUUGACAAUGAAAUUUGUCCACUCAAUUCGUUCGAUGACAAGUCUAAAAAAUUCAAGGACACAAGAUUCCCCAUCGAGUCAGGCAAUAUCCUCCGCAAAUAUUUGCUUCUGAAAUAAUCAAGAACUCUAACGAUGAUAAAUUUGUGAUUGAGACAGAGAAUCUUUGAAAGAGAAUUACCUGAUAGAUCUAAGUACUUUAAGGCCUGUAGAUUAUCAACUGAAUUAAUGAAUUCGGUGGAGAAGGACAUCCACGACAGACCCAAAUGUUCAAGAUUGCUGCUCCGAUUGAACUUCAAAAGAUCAAGAUUCAGGUUUUGGUUGCCUCCCAAGUUGAGGAAAUUUAGGUUUGGCAAAUCAAAAAUGUUUUUUUGGGAAUUUUCCUUGCAAAUCACAACCAGAAAGACUGAGAGACCUUAGAGAAGAGGAUAGAUUCGUGAAGACAUGAGGAUUAAUAGAAGACAUGUUGAUUUCAUCCAAAAACAGAUGUCUGACCUCGGUCAGGUUGUGAACAAGUCCCUCGACAGCAUGUUUGUCAAUUGUUUGUCCAUCAGCCUAAUAGGAGAGAUUAAGUGAAACCAAUUUUGAUAGGUGGGAGACUUGGGAUGGGAUUUGUCCUACAAAACUUGUAUGAGAAAGGUUGAGAUAUACUAGGCUUGUAAAAAAAUUUAAAAUUUAAUCGGUUAGCAUUAAAUAUGUCAUUUUCUAUUAACUGCAAGAAAACUAUCCGGUAAACUGCAUCUUCCUCUUUAGAUGAAAUUUUGUAAAAAAAAAAAAAAUUGACAUUAUCACUUAUAUGGUCCUUCAAUUUUUUUUUUAAAAAGUCAUUUUAACUCUCUAUUUAAUUUUUCGCGUCUUUGAGCUUUUAAAUUUGCGUUAUUUAUCAAAUCAUCCCAAAAUGGAUGAAAAAGUUAACAUUUGUUAAUUCUAUUGACGAGACAUACAUAUCGAUAUCAAAUAAACAAUUAAUUGAUUUUUAAAUUUUAAAAAUUUUAAAAAUAAAACAUAUAUUAAAGUUUUCUAAGAAAUGAGGAAAUUGGAACCAUGUACAGAAGAAUGUCCAAUAAUAUAAACACAACAUUUUAGUUAUUUUCUACUGUCCAAUAAUGCCAUGUGUAUUAGUACAAACAUUCAUUAAACCUAAUUUAAUUUUAGCCAUUAAUUUAAUUUUUCAUCUUUAUUAGCCCUUAAACCUACAUUAUUUAUCAAAUAACCCUUAAACUUAUAUUGUUUAUCAGAUGAAAAAAUUAAUAUCUAUUAACUUUGCUAACGUGCAUACAUAUGCAACUUCUUAUUUAAAUCUAAAAAAUCUAAAAAUAAUUAAAUAUGUAUAAAUCUAAAAAUAUCUUAAAAUUAAAACUAAUUUUUUUUAAACUAAUGCAAAUUUUUAGUAUUUAAAAAAUCUUAAAAUUUUCAAAUUAAAUUCCAUUAGUUUUCCACCGUUGAAGAACACCUUCAAUCACAUCAACAAUUUCAUGCUGUUUUGCCUAGAAAUUGUUUUGCAAAUUUAUUUUGUUUUAUUUAUUUCUAAACCCAUAUUUCUUUGCUAUAACUCCAAUUAUUAGAUUGUUUAGGGUUUUGAGUAACUUUCGGUUUUAAAAUUUUAGAUUUUUUAAAUUUAAAUACGAAGUGCUCUUCUUCUUCUCCAAACCCACAAUUUUUUUCUGCCAAAUUUCAACUCAAGGUUUUACUUUCAACUAUAAAUAAAACAUAUAUUAUAUUUAUAAUAAUCUAAGAAGUGAAAUAAUUAGAAUUGACUUGGUCUUGCUUCCUUUAUAUGUAUGAAUGUGGAAAUUGGCAUAAUGCCAACUUAUUUUCCACGCAGAAGAAGAAAAUGGUGCUCUAUUCACUCCCUUUCCUAGCAAACAAGGCCACAUAUGACUUAGAUAGAUAUAUAUAUAUAUAUAUAUGGUCCCUAAGUGUGUAUAUAUUAAUAUAUUUUCAAGUAAACAAACUUAUGCCUUAAAAGUUGAAUAAUAGCAUCUAAGAAACAAAUUUUCCACCAGACUGGAAAUUUUGUAUUGCUUGGAAUGAAUUGACUCUCAUUUUCUAUUACUUGCUAGAAAUAGGGGAAAUUUCACAUCAAUGCAUUCACUUCACUAGGUCUUGCUUCCUAUCACUGUCAACCAAACUUGAUCGACUAGCAGUAAGGAAAUUUCAGUCAUUUGCAGCAUAAGAAUUCCACACCCUCAAAAUAAUUUGCAAUUUCAAAAAUAGAUUAAUAAGUGUGGUUCAAAUACCAAGACUAUAAUAUCUAUUCACUUCACUUGGUCUUUAUUACUCACACAGAAUGUAUCAUCAUCAUCAUUAUAUUACUCUUUUAUUGUUAUUUUUAUUUUUUUCUUGUUACUUUUAUUUGUUAUUAUUAUUAUUUUUUUAUACUUUCAUGUUUUCUUUUUCAUAUAUUCCACCUUUUAUUUGUUUAUUUCAUUCUUUUACCUAAUUAAUAUUAGAUUUUAUUAGUUGGUGCCAUUACUUAUUUGUUGUUUUUGAUAUAUCAUCGCUUCGUUAAUAUGCACCAUCAUUUUAUUAUUGUUGCAAUUACGUCACGAGCCGUUUUAAAUGUAUUCAUGCUUUUCUAUUAUGCCCCGAAUAAAUUAAAUAUCUACCAUUUUAAAUAUUACAUUAACUUUUAUGCGAUACAUAAAAAAAGAAUUUUUUUUUACCAAGGCAAAUGUUUGUUAUUUCAAAUUUAGAAAAAUCAUGUUCUAACUUACGGAAUAUGGUUGCCUUCUAAAAUUGAGAUAAUUGAAUAUAUUUUAAAAUAAACAAAAAUUUGUUUUUUUUUUUUUUACAUUUGUUCUCAUUUUCGGGAUUUAAGGCAUGGUGUCCUAACUUACGGAACGUGAUCCUUUUUCCCGAUUAAUUUAAAAUAAAUCUAUUUUUGUGAAAACAAAAUUUAAGUAAUAUUGAAACGAAGGACCGUAUUUUAAAAUCUCUUCAAAUUCUCAAUUUUUGACACUAAGACAUUAAUUAAUUAAUCAAUUAGGUACUAAUUUUGGGCGUUACGAGGGUGCUAAUAUUUCCUCGUACGUAACCGACUCUCGAACUUAUUUCCUGGAUUUUUGUAGACCAAAAAUUGUUGUUUUAGUAAAUCAAAUCUUUUAUUAAAACGAUUAAAUUACAAGGUGAUCCGAUCACACUAAUAAAAAGGAUUGGUGACGACUCCCAUUUUCGUUUUCAAAAUAAAAGUCGACCCUUUUCAAAAAUAGUUUCGACAAUGUGUAACAAGUAUUUUUAUUAAUCCAUUUGGAACAAGAUUUUGUUUCCUAAUGUUAAGAUUUGCUGGAGCAAAUAAAUUGAUUAAUGCUUUGAACUUUCCCAAACACUUUUUAUCAUUUUGUAUAAUUAGUAUAUUUGAAUAUAUUAGAUACAUCGUCUAAAACAAUGUCAAUAGUAAUUUUUUUAUAUUUUGUGGACCACAAGGGUACCAUAUAAAUAAUUUUAAAAAAAAGAUGGAGUGAUACAUUUACGUAGUGCUUAUGAAUAUAAUGUUGGAUUAAAAUCCUUAAUUAUGAGUACAUAUGUAUAAUGUUUGAUAUUACAAUUAUCUUAAUAAUUUUGUUUCUGUUUUUGUUGAUUGAUGAUUAUAAAAAUCAUUAUUUUUCUGAAGGCAUGCUUUGUUGUCAAUGACAGUACCUGCACCCUAAAAUAAUCACCAGCUUUAACAACUGCAAGAGUUGUCCUGCCUGACAUUUACUAAAAAAUCACCAGGGAGCACAUUGUCAGGAGAUCCUUGCUGGAAAAAACUUGGUAGGAUGGUUUUUUUGUGCAAACUUAGGAUUUCAAUUCUCAUCAAGGAACUUGCAAGCCAAUUAUUGUAGAAAUGUUUGUCCAAAUGAUAAACAUUUGGAAUCCUAACCACAGGGACUUUUGCAAGCCUAUUAAUUAGCUCCAGGAACUUUAGAUUCUACCUGUUCAAAACAUUUUUUCAAAGAAGGAAGCAUAGGUGAAAGGCGUCUAUUCUGGUUCAUCUCAUUGAAUACAUCAAAUGGAGGAUCAAUACGCUGAAAAAGGGACAAUGGAAAGAACUUUAGCCUACAACUUGAAUUUUAUAACUACUCCUAUGCCAACCAGCAAACCAUAACAGCAUACAUAAAAAAGAGGAUGCUGACUUACAGUUCCUUUCAUUUCACCAAAACCAAUCAAAUCCCUUGCAAUGUUGUUUGGAUCACAACAGCUCAUCUUUCAAUCCUAGAUGGCUCCGCCAAUUUUUUGAAAGCAUACAUGAACUGUUCAAGAAAUAAAUGGAUAAAACAACUACAGGAUAGAAGGCUAAAAAAUUACAAAGAGCAAUGACCUUAUUGUUAAAAUUCCAACGUCCAUUCCUUGGAAAGAUAUCUUCACCAUUGCCCACUCAAGAGAACUCAAAUAGCAGCAAGAUCUCGUAUAAAAUGUAACUCUCAACAACACACACAAAUGUUUGUUCUAUCAAGGAACAAUACACAGACAUAUUCACCUACCCUUGGUGCUGGCAGAAUAUGCCCAUUCACUUUGGUGAAAUUAGAGUUGAUAAUAACCCCACAAGAUUUCUGCACCAUAAUUACUGCGAAGUAAACCUGCACAUAAAUUUUCAUUCUUCACUAGAUACAUAUUGGAAAUUGGCCAACCAUGCUGCUGUUACAUUUUGUGGUUGAAGUGCAUGCAGCUUGAUGACAUGCUGGAGCACAUAUGGUUGCUGUAACAGCAAGGUUUCUCUUUAGUUUCUUUGUUGAUUAAACUAGUUGAAAAUGAACAAGUUGAUGACAACUUGAUGCAUUAGGUGUUGAAUGACUAGUUUAGGUGGCUUGUUUAUGUGUACAAGCAAUGUUUUAAUAGUCCCAAUGCUGAUUAGUGGGGUUAGUUGACUAUUUGAUGAUGUAUUUGACUAUAAAUGUAUGUUUUUUCUAGUUGAAUGAAUGAGCUGAAUAGGCUAUCAGCCAUAAGCUCCCUUGCUGCACAUUUGUGAGCAAGUAAAAAUACUUCUUGCACCUUGCUUCAUUGUUAUGCUCUCUGUUCUCUUCUUUUGCUGCUGCCAAAUGUUCCAACAAUACAGAAUCUAUUUUUGUAAGUAAAAAUUAGUUGUAUUCAUUGUUCACAUAAUUGAUCUUUUGUUGUGGAAGUAUUGUAUUUCCGGUAAUCCAUUAAGUAUUCAGUGUUUGAUAUAAUAGAUUUGCAUUUUAUUAUUGUAUUUUGUGAAAGGAUCCUUUAUCUAUUUUUUGUAACCUAUUUUGUUUUUUGCAUUUCUGAUUAGUUUACAUGAUGGCAUACUCAAUGAUCUCUUAAGUUAGUUAUGUUAGGCUCUUUAACCAUUGUUGUAGCUCACCGUACGUACUCCAUGCCCCCUUAUCCAUAUCUAGCUACUGACUAGUACACAACUAUCAUUGUUCUCACAUCACAUGUGGAUUGGUGGAUUUCUGAUAAUGGGUGUUGUUGCGCAUGCAGCCAUUUUUAUGGUAAGAGACAAUGAUUCAACUACUCUAUACAAUGAUUUAUUAGAUCGUGAUGUAAUCAUAUCACAUCUCAAUUGGGCAUUUAUAUUUCUUGACUUUGUAUAUUCAUAAUGAUACCAUGAUAGCCUUUUCCCCUCUUUUUUUUUGUUUUUUUUUUUUAUCUCUAGUCUCAAUUUUGGGCGUGACACAAUGAAAUUAGAAACUAAAUCUAUUUUUGUAAGUAAAAAUUAGUUUUAUUCAUUCUUCACAUAAUUGAUCCGGUAAUCCAUUCAGUGUUUGGUACAAUAGAUUUGCAUUAUAUAUAGGUUUGCCAAUGAGAUGGCAAGCAGACUGCUAGCUAGAAAUUCUUGCAUCUUUGAAUCACCAAUUCAAUUAAUAAGCUUAACUAAAGGAAAUAAGGACUUUACAUCCACCAAUUUUAGCAACCUAUAUGUACCCUUUUACAGUCUGCAUUGUUCCAUGUUUCAAUUCAUUCCAUCAUUCCUUCAACUCUGCUAUAUAUUAUUACCAUCUCCAGACAACCAAUCCUUUUACUGCUAACUUGUAAAGAAAUUAAGAAAAUACAGCAGAGAUCAUUGACACAUUUUGUUCUCCUUUCUCCUUUACUGAGCAGUAGCAAAGAUUGUCGAGACUAAAUUGAAAGUCAUGAAAGAAGACAUAAACAACACCACCAUACAAAAUGUUACACUCAAACAAACCGUUACAGAUAGUACGAAAUGCAAUGAAAGAGGAAUUGGUACAAUAAUAAAGACAGACACAUACCAAUGCAACCCUUCACCAUAGGCAAAACGGUCUACAGAACAAUAAAUUAUGAAAAUACAACACUAAUUCUUCAACAUCCUUUGCAGUAAUUAGAUCCUUUUUCGUCUAUAGCUUCAAUUGCCUUUCUUUGACUUUCUUCUUCGCCUCCUCUCUUGUUGGUUUUCAACCAAACUCACCAACCAUUUCGGCUUACCAGUUUGGAAAACAACAUAUCCCACGGACAUUCCGAACACCACUCCGCAUCCAUAACCUAUCAACACCACUUUCCAACCAAAAGCAAUGUUUGAUGUUGAGCCAUCUUUUUCAAGCACAUUUGGAGGUGCUGGCUCAAUGAUGUUGCAACCUUUCGAGACCGGAAACCCACAUAGUCCCUUAUUCCCUUCAUAUGAAUCAAUUCCAAAUGUGUUGAAUUGUUUUCCUUGAGGAAUCUGACCAUGGAGUUGAUUUUCAGAAACAUUGAAGGACGAAAGAAAUGGCAGAUCUGCCAAUCUAUUUGGAAUCGUCCCAGACAACCUGUUUGAAGAUAGGUCCAACCAUUCAAGACUUGUCAAAUUCCCUAUUGAGGUGGGGAUACCACCAUUAAGGUUAUUAUGGGAAAGGUUGAGCCCCUUUAGUAAGUUAAGCUUCCCAAUAACUUUUGGAAUCUCUCCUUCAAACUGAUUGUUUGAUAGAUCUAUGAUCAUCCACAUGGUGAAAAUUUUCACCAAUUCCCUAUCUUGUCCUUUCAUAACAAUUUCAAUGGAAUAGGUAUAAAAGUCACUACCUGUCGAAUCAUACACCCCCAUGUACGACAAUUUACUCCCAAUCUUCUCUAGAUUUAUGAUACCCUUGAAGCUGUUGAUGUAUCUCUCUGGUAGGGGUCCAGAAAAAUAAUUACUUGAGAGAUCAAAGAUUUGGAUUUUAGAGAAAAAAGGGCUAGACUUGGAGCUAUUGACACAUAAGGAACCAUGCAAAUGAUUUGACUUCAAUACAAGAACUUGCAAAUAUGGAAGACUUCCCAACCAAUGAGGAAAUGUAUCAUUGAUCUUGUUGUUACCAAGAUCUAGCACUUCCAGACCAUUACAAUUAAGGAUGGAUGGUGUCAAAGGCCCUUCUAACAGAUUUCCAUUUAAGUUGAAAUUACUCAAUUGGCAUCCCUCUGCAAAUGUUGGAGGAAUCGUCCCAUAGAACUUGUUCUUCUUCAGAUUCAAGAAUUUAAGGCUGUUGCUCAGAUUUCCAAAACAUUGCGGAAUUGUUCCACUCAAGUAAUUGUGGGACAAAUCAAGAAUUUGAAGAGCACUGGCAUUGCAUAUUAAAGAAGAGACCUCUCCAUUGAAACUAUUAUUUGAGAUCAGAAAGACAUUGAUCGUCGAUGCUGGAAUCGGAAGAUUUCCACUGAUCAAAUUGGAGCUUAAGUCAAGAAAUUCAAUAUUCUUCCAUGGAAAGUGCUCAACUUCUGUCAAAGAGUUGUGAGAUACGUUUAAGUAAGUCAAAGAGUCAUUCCCCACCUCUUGCAUCCACUGUGGAAUCUUGCCUUCAAUUUUGUUGCAAGAGAGGUCUAAGCUUUCCAAACUUUUAAGCCCUUUCAAAAAUUGGGGGAAUUCACUAAAAUUGCAAGAUGACAAAUGUAAGUCUGUAAGAUUAGGCAAUAUAUGAUUAACACUAGAAGUAGAAUUAGAUGUUAAGGAUAUGCGGAUAUAUGAAAGGUCAAGAUAUUCGAGAUUUGGAAGGCUUGAGAACAUGCGAAACUCUAUAACACCACUAAGAUUAUUUGAGGAUAAAACGAGGUGGGUAAGAUUGAGAACUUGGAAUAUUGAAGAUGGAAAAGGACCUUGGAGUUUAUUAUUGUUUAGAUAUAAAUGUUCUAGUGAUUUGGAUUGGAAUUCUUUGAUAUGCCCACUGAAUUGAUUUUGAGAGAGAAUUAUAACCUUUAAGGAGGGAGCAGUAUACAACCAUGACGGAAGUGUUCCAUUGAGUAAAUUGUCAGAUAAGCCUAAAUAUAUUAGAUUAGGAAAAGUGGUUACCUCAUCUGGAAUGGAUCCUUCUAAAGAAUUUUCAGAUAUUCCCAAGUAUUCCAGCUGGGUUAGGUUUAGAAUUGACAAUGGAAUUUGUCCACUCAAUUGGUUCCACGCCAACUCUAAAUAAGUGAGUUGCAAGAGGUUUCCCAGUGAUCUUGGAACCGUUCCUGAUAAGUUGGAAUUGGAGAGAUCUAAAAACUUCAAGGACACAAGAUUCCCCAUCGAAUCGGGCAAUCCUCCAAAAAUAUUUGCGCCUCUAAUAAUCAAGUACUCCAAAGAUGAUAAAUUUG
rnacentral:lncRNA from 1 species